rnacentral:rRNA from 1 species
GAUGAGCAUGCGUCCCAUUAGCUUGUUGGUAAGGUAACGGCUUACCAAGGCAACGAUGGGUAGGGGUCCUGAGAGGGAGAUCCCCCACACUGGUACUGAGACACGGACCAGACUCCUACGGGAGGCAGCAGUGAGGAAUAUUGGUCAAUGGGCGCAAGCCUGAACCAGCCAUGCCGCGUGCAGGAUGACGGUCCUAUGGAUUGUAAACUGCUUUUGUACAGGAAGAAACAGUUCUACGUGUAGAACCUUGACGGUACUGUAAGAAUAAGGAUCGGCUAACUCCGUGCCAGCAGCCGCGGUAAUACGGAGGAUCCAAGCGUUAUCCGGAAUCAUUGGGUUUAAAGGGUCCGUAGGCGGUUUAGUAAGUCAGUGGUGAAAGCCCAUCGCUCAACGGUGGAACGGCCAUUGAUACUGCUAGACUUGAAUUAUUAGGAAGUAACUAGAAUAUGUAGUGUAGCGGUGAAAUGCUUAGAGAUUACAUGGAAUACCAAUUGCGAAGGCAGGUUACUACUAAUGGAUUGAC